UACGGGAGGCAGCAGUGGGGAAUAUUGCACAAUGGGCGAAAGCCUGAUGCAGCGACGCCGCGUGAGCGAAGAAGUAUUUCGGUAUGUAAAGCUCUAUCAGCAGGGAAGAUAAUGACGGNACNGGACUAAGAAGCACCGGCUAAAUACGUGCCAGCAGCCGCGGUAAU
rnacentral:rRNA from 1 species